rnacentral:rRNA from 1 species
UGAGGAAUAUUGGACAAUGGAGGCAACUCUGAUCCAGCCAUGCCGCGUGAAGGACUAAGGCCCUAUGGGCUGUAAACUUCUUUAGACGCAGAGCAAUAAGGGCCACGCGUGGUCCGAUGAGAGUAUGCGUAGAAUAAGCAUCGGCUAACUCCGUGCCAGCAGCCGCGGUAAUACGGAGGGUGCAAGCGUUAAUCGGAAUAACUGGGCGUAAAGGGCAUGCAGGCGGUUCAUCAAGUAGGAUGUGAAAUCCCCGGGCUCAACCUGGGAACAGCAUACUAACUGGUGGACUAGAGUAUUGCGAGGGGGAGACGGAAUUCCAGGUGUAGCGGUGGAAUGCGUAGAUAUCUGGA